ACUACGAUGACGCAUAUUACGAACUACAUUAUAAAAUAAGUGCAAAAUCGUUUUUUUUUUUUUUUGCUUACAUUAAUUGGUUGAUUGAUUGAAACUUAGAACAGUUUAAAGUAGCUUAAAUUAAACAUUCAUAUUUUUGAUCACCUGUGUGCAGUGAAUAUAUACUGGCUGUUUGAUUUUAAUAUUAAAAUUCUGGCGGACAGAAUAUCAAAGCUAACAAUAGCAUAGACCUGAAGAAGUUCAAUGGACCAGUUGAGGGGUCUACGACAAUCUCUUAUCCGGAUUCGUCAAAAGUACCAGCCACAUAGGAAGCUUUCAUAAACAUGUAAAUUCUUUCCAUAAUCAAACGCCUAAAGCCCUCGGAUUGUGCCUGCCGAGCCUUCACACCAAUCAAACAUGCUACUUUCUGACGCUUAUAAUUUAAACAAAACCAUUGAUUUUUCUGAUAAACUGGACUGGUCAUAGAAACUAAAAAAAAUUAUGGUUGAAGAUACUUUUACAUCGAUUAAAAAAGACACCAUAGACGUUAAUGUGGAUUUUAUUUUGUUAACUUAGUAAUAUUAUUAGUAAUUAAUUGGUAUAAUAAGAUGAUUAACGCGGUACUAAAACAUUUAGCAACAUUAGAUAAAUCAAGCUUUAUUUGUAUAAUAAAAAAUAAAAUAACAAAAAAAGCUUUCCCUGGUAAGAAACUGCGUUCAACUCGCUCUUCAUCGCAAACUAGUAUUAGGUACAGCUCGUUCACCGAGUAUAAUAAUAUUUUUCGAUUUAUUAAAUGGAGUUAGACCUAACAGCACACUAUAUCCUCUAAGAUACUCCCAUGUAUAUAUUUUUUAAUUUUCAUGGUCAGAAGUGGUAGAUUUACCCUGCCUGGGUAAUUUUUCUAUCGUUUGUUUACCUAUAUGCUAAACUUGCAUUUAAUUUCUAACUUCUUAAUUGUUUUUAUAUUAACUUAUGUCUUCAUUAGAUUAACCUUAAAUCAUUCGCGUUAAAUAUUAAUAUAAAUUAUUGCAAUUUUAUUAAUAUUGGUAAAAAACUGGGAUGGAAAAUUGUAGAACUAAAUGUAAGUAUGAUAAAACACGUAAACACAGUAAUAAAAUUAAUAAGAGUAGAGUUUUUUUAAGAAAGAAGAUAUCUUUGUACAUAUAAAAUAGAAGAAGUCUGAUGUUUUCAAUUUUCAGUCAGCAAAUUCUAAUAAAAAAAAUAGUUUUUUUUAAAAUGAUUUCUUUAUGUGCUUAUUUGUUGACUCGUUAAAAAUUGCAAUCGAUUUUUAAGUAACUACCAUAUGACUUAGAGAUUUGUUUCUUAUUACAAAUUAUUUUAUUUUUUCAUUCUUUACGUAAUUAACGUUAGGUCUUACUUAAAUCAAAUUGUUUUCCUGUUUUAGUAUAAUUUAAAAAAAAACCUUAGGCUAAAAAUUUGUUUCAUUUUCGAAAAAUAUCUACAAAAAUUAAUCUAUCUUUGAAUAUUUUAUUUAACUUUAGCAGCGGAUUGAGAAAUGAAGUGUGAGGUUUCUUCUAGAGAUAUCUUGAAAAUUUCAGUUAUUAGCUUUUUACUAUAAUUGGCAAACGUUCUAUUAUGUUUGAGUAAGCGUAGUAGCAUUUCAUUUUUUAGUGAUAAGGGUGAAAACUUUCUAGGAUAUAACGGCGACUGGAGUAAAUAAUAUAUAAAUGCUACGUUAUUGUUACGACUGUUCGAAAAUAAAUCUGUUAGUUGGUAAUUUGCGAUAAGCAUGUUAUUUUAUAUUGUUAAAUUUUAACAAAACUAUUGAAUAAAACCUCCAUAGCAUUUGCCUGAUUCACGUAGUGUGUAAAUACGUAGUAAAUUAGUGUAAAUGAUCCUUGAUAAUUUAUGUAUCAUUUAAUUAAAAUAAAACGAAAACAUAAUUCCUUUUGAAUUACUAUAAUUGUAAGUUAUGUAUGUUUAUUGAAUUUUAAUAUUCUCUUAAGAAAACAACAUUUUCACAACGUCUUUAAAAAAACCUUAGCAAUUUAUUAUGUAAACGGUAUAGUUUUAGCGUGUGAGUUAAUUUAAGCAAUUUUUUACUAAUUUGCACUUCCUUCUUGUUAAAUUAAUUAUAAAGUUGUUGAAUUUCAUCAUUAAAAAGUAUAUUGACACU